UACAGAGGUCUCAAGCGUUGUUCGGAUUCAUUGGGCGUAAAGGGUGCGUAGGUGGCGGGGCAAGUUUGGUGUGAAAUCCCGAGGCUCAACCUCGGGUCUGCAUCCGAUACUGCCCGGCUAGAGGUAGGUAGGGGAGAUCGGAAUUCCUGGUGUAGCGGUGAAAUGCGCAGAUAUCAGGAGGAACACCGGUGGCGAAGGCGGAUCUCUGGGCCUUACCUGACGCUCAGGCGCGAAAGCUAGGGGAGCGAACUGG
rnacentral:rRNA from 1 species